AGAGUUUGAUCCUGGCUCAGAUUGAACGCUGGCGGCAGGCCUAACACAUGCAAGUCGAGCGGUAGAGAGGUGCUUGCACCUCUUGAGAGCGGCGGACGGGUGAGUAAUACCUAGGAAUCUGCCUGGUAGUGGGGGAUAACGUUCGGAAACGGACGCUAAUACCGCAUACGUCCUACGGGAGAAAGCAGGGGACCUUCGGGCCUUGCGCUAUCAGAUGAGCCUAGGUCGGAUUAGCUAGUUGGUGAGGUAAUGGCUCACCAAGGCUACGAUCCGUAACUGGUCUGAGAGGAUGAUCAGUCACACUGGAACUGAGACACGGUCCAGACUCCUACGGGAGGCAGCAGUGGGGAAUAUUGGACAAUGGGCGAAAGCCUGAUCCAGCCAUGCCGCGUGUGUGAAGAAGGUCUUCGGAUUGUAAAGCACUUUAAGUUGGGAGGAAGGGCCGUUACCUAAUACGUGAUGGUUUUGACGUUACCGACAGAAUAAGCACCGGCUAACUCUGUGCCAGCAGCCGCGGUAAUACAGAGGGUGCAAGCGUUAAUCGGAAUUACUGGGCGUAAAGCGCGCGUAGGUGGUUUGUUAAGUUGGAUGUGAAAUCCCCGGGCUCAACCUGGGAACUGCAUUCAAAACUGACAAGCUAGAGUAUGGUAGAGGGUGGUGGAAUUUCCUGUGUAGCGGUGAAAUGCGUAGAUAUAGGAAGGAACACCAGUGGCGAAGGCGACCACCUGGACUGAUACUGACACUGAGGUGCGAAAGCGUGGGGAGCAAACAGGGUUAGAUACCCUGGUAGUCCACGCCGUAAACGAUGUCAACUAGCCGUUGGGAGCCUUGAGCUCUUAGCGGCGCAGCUAACGCAUUAAGUUGACCGCCUGGGGAGUACGGCCGCAAGGUUAAAACUCAAAGGAAUUGACGG
rnacentral:rRNA from 1 species